GUGCUCACUUCGGUGGGACAUAUACAGUAAUUGGAAGGAUGCAGAGAAAUUCAGCAUGGCCUCUGAGCAAAUGGCACGCAAACUCAUAAACUGUUCUGUAUUAUU
rnacentral:snRNA from 1 species